CUUUUUCCUAGUNUACGGNUGGAGACGCGGCGUACGGCUCAGAUAUCAUGUGGCUAACCUGCCCUUCGGACGAGAACAACGCCGGGUAAACUGGCGCUAAUUCUCGAUAGGUGGAGAGGCCUGGAACGGUUCUCUGCUCAAAGGGAGCUGAGGGCAUGCUUCUCAGUUUCGCCGAAGGAUGGGGCCGCACCCGAUCAGGUCGCUGGUGAGGUAACGGCUCACCAGGCCUAUAACCGGUACGGGCCGCGAGAGCGGGAGCCCGGAGAUGGGCACUGAGAUAAGGGCCCAGGCCCUACGGGGCGCAGCAGGCGCGAAAACUCCGCAAUGCGUGGCAACGUGACGGGGUCAUCCCGAGUGUUACCUGCUGAAGGUGACUUUUGCCUGGUGUAACGAGCCGGGCGAAUAANCGGGGGGCAAA
rnacentral:rRNA from 1 species